rnacentral:rRNA from 1 species
CCUACUGGAGGCAGCAGUGGGGAAUAUUGCGCAAUGGGCGAAAGCCGGACGCAGCGACGCCGCGUGAGGGAUGAAGGUCUUCGGAUCGUAAACCUCUGUCAGCAGGGAAGAACGGUCACUGUGCUAAUCAGCAGUGAAUUGACGGGACCUGCAAAGGAAGCACAGGCUAACUCCGUGCAUGCAGCCGCGGUAAGACGGAGGGUGCGAGCGUUAAUCGGAAUGACUGGGCGUAAAGCGCUCGUAGGCGGUAUGUCAAGUCAAGGGUGAAAUCCCCGCGCUCAACGUGGGAACUGCCUUUGAAACUGGCAAACUGGAGUGUGUGAGAGGAUAGUGGAAUUCCAGGUGUAGGAGUGAAAUCCUUAGAUAUCUGGAGGAACAUCAGUGGCGAAGGCGACUAUCUGGCACAUAACUGACGCUGAGGAGCGAAAGCGUGGGUAGCAAACAGGAUUAGAUACCCUGGUAGUC